AAAAAGUUAUUCUAGAUGUUAUUUGGCAUUUGUAAAAAUCAGUGAAAAAACUAAUUUUAUAUGUAUAUUUAUAUAAAUAAUGUACUUUAAUUAUACAUGCCCCAUCUUUUCGACAUAUAUUCACCUAAUUUAUCAGUUAUAUACGUAUUAAGUAUAAAGUGUUUAUAGAUUAUCACGAGAUAUUCAGUUUGCAAUAGUCGCAGAAGCAUCGUCCACCGCGAUCAUGACUUAAUUGAAUGGGUGGUCACUUGGAAAUUUUCUCUCGAAAAUUUCCGAGAUUUUUUUUGUGAAAAAUGUUUUUUAAAAUGUUACAAAAAUAUAAUUUUGCUCAUUGGAAUUAUGUGGCGUAAUAAUAUAAUAUUUAUGCAAAUAUUUUGAAGGAAUUCAUAGAAUUAGAACUGUGGAUGUUUACAAGACAGAAUAAGGCGCUUCUUUAAUAGUCCACAGGACGCCUUGAGGACGUCCCAGGACUAUAACAGGUACUCCCUACGACAUCCUGCUCAACGUAACAGGACGUUCCGUGCUCAUAGUAAACUAGUAAAUAUGUUAGAAACUGCUUUUGGCCUAUGUUACCCAAUUUUUCUUGAAAGUCUGACGUGUGAUGGGUAUUUUUUGCUGGCGGAUUUGGAUUCAGCAACCUUGAAUUUACUAGUAGCGAAUUUGGUUGGACUGCACCGGUGUGCACUGGUGCACAUUAAAGUUAACGUACUCGUACAUAAAUUGAUGUAAGAUGUGUGUUCAUUGUCAGUAUAAAUAUAUAAACAGAUUAAAUUAUGAAAUUUUCUCUUUUAUGUUAUUUGAUAAGAUACAAGUAUUAAAAAUUUUGCCAGUCAAGAUAUUUGCAGUUUGAUUUAAUAUUAGAUUAAUGUAAAACGGCCUUAAUAUGCACUAGUGCAUACUAGUGCAUCCGACCGAAUUCGCUAUAAAAAUACUAGUUUUCCUUGCCACAAUUUUUUCUGUUGGACUGUGUAAAAGUAAUCUAACAGUAAAUAACUGCUAAACAUUUAUUUGACAUUUUGGAGAUUCAAUUAGUAACUCUAUCUUAUCAUUAUUCUUCAUUUAUCAUUCCCAAAUCAUUACAAAAAAAAUAUUUUGUUUAAAAAUCUACGUCCCACACUAUUUUGCACAUUAAUAAAACUUAAAAGAAGAACAAAUUGUGAAAAUGAAUAUUGUUUAAGUUUCAAAUGCAGGACUGAUUACGGAAAGAUUCAUAAAUAUAAAUCAAAAGGACGGAAGAUGCAUCUCCGUCCUUCGGAUUUAUCAAUUCGAUAUGGUUGCGUAGUAAGAUCCUUCCGCAAAAAAGUGAUAUAUAAAAGAGUAACAAACUCUGCAGCAAAUAAUUUUACAUACUACAGUGGAGAAUACAAAAACACAUACGUUUCGCAUAGCGCAGCUAAAAUGUAUAUCAGCCUCAGAUUGUUUUCCAACAAUAAAACGGUUCAUUUUUUUCGCCUUCAUUGGUGUACUUUUAAUAAAGAAUGCAACACCAUUCGAAGACCAAGGAUAUUCUUCACAUGUGGCAUAGUUAUUUGGCUCAAACAAUAAAUUAACUGAAAACACCUAAAACAAUGAGAGAAAACAUAAAGAAAAAGACAAGCCUAGCAUAUGCCAAACUCGAGAGUGCAAAAAAUUUGGUAUUUGAUAGCGAAAUCUAUUGCUACAAUUAUUAUUAUUAGCUACAGCUAGUGUGAAAAUUCAAAUCUUUAUUUCUCUCUACUUAAGAAAGAGAAAGAGAGAGCAACCGCGUUACCAGGUAUAGUGCAAAUCAAUCAAUCCUGAUUAUUUAAUAAACGUCGCCAAAGAAGAUAUGCAUAGCAUCGGACGACUGAGAGUUAUAAGCUCUGUAUCAAAUUUGAAUGACUGCUACAGCUUAUAAUUGUCCGGUUGACAGUCCAAUGAAUCCCGAAAAGUUCAAUAUUUGGAAAUGACCCAAAAAGACUUGCAAAUUACUUCAUAAAUAUAUCUUGCAGAAAUUAUUUAUCCAGAUGUAUUGAUAAAUAAAAUUAUGCACAAUGUUUGACUAAA